CAUCUGCUUCACCCUAGACAGACACGUUUGUACCAGGAAUCUCUUUCCUGAUCGGGAGUGCUCUUACUCCAUCUGCCCAGCACUCAUAGGACUCAGGAAGCCCCAGAACUGCUCAUACCUGUGGUUGAUCAUGAAGAAGCCCAGGGAACUCUCUAAGUCACCACUUCUUCUGAGAAACCUGGACCAGCCCCGCCCUCCUGCCACUUGCCUGCCCUGUCCUACUUACAGGGACCUCAUUUCUUACCUUGUUACUGGGGAGGCAGCCUGGCCGACGGGAUGCCACUGCUGGAGGCCAUCAUCUUCUGGUCCCUCUGGGCUGUUGGCCUUGGGCAAGUAAAAUUGGAACAACCUGAAAUCUCAAUUUCCAGAGCAAGACUUAAGAGUGUACACAUAUCAUGCAAGAUGUCCACUGACGCCAUGAAUAAGGGCAUACACUGGUAUAGGCAGAAACCAGAUCAGCAGAUAGAGCAUUUAACAUACGUCUCACAAAAUCUUCCUAAUUCUUUAGGAGUGGAGAACAACAAACUUGAGGCAAGUUUAAAUGCUCAAACUUCUACUGCAACCUUGAAAAUAAAUCUCUUAGACGACAAAGAUGAGGCCAUGUACUACUGUGCCUCCUGGGACUGGGUCCACAGCUGGAUCAAGAUAUUUGCAGAAGGAACUAAGCUCAUAGUAACUCCCCCAGAUAAAAAUCUUGAUGAGGACACUUCCCCCAAACCUACAAGUUUUCUUCCUUCAAUGGCUGAAAUAAAACUCCAUAAGAAUGGAACGUAUCUUUGUCUUCUUGAGAAUUUUUACCCUGAUGUUAUCAAGAUAGACUGGAAAGAGAAAAAUGGCAAAACAGUUCUGGAGUCCCUGCAGGGAAACACCAUGAAGACUAAGGACACGUACAUGAAAUACACCUGGCUGACCGUGCCAGAAAAGUCCAUGGAUAAAGAACACAAAUGUAUCGUGAAACAUGAGAAGAAUAAAGGAAGGGUUGAUCAAGAGAUUAUUUUUCAUUCAGUGAACAAAGAACUCACUCCUAUUAACUCUAGAAAAGGGUCUCUGAAAGAUGAAAAUGACCCCCUGCCACUGCAGCUCAUGAACACCUCUGCCUACUACACCUACGUCCUCCUCCUGGUCAAGAGCGUGGUCUACUCCAUCAUCAUCGCCUACUGUCUACUCGGGAGAGGAGUGCUCUGCAGCAAUGGAAAGAGUUCCGAAUAGGUGCUGGCACAAGGCUCCACUUUUCUUUUUUGGCUAUUGUUGCUAAUAAUGUCUGCUGACGAUCUAGUGGGCCUUUCUUCCUGGGUUUGGAUCAUUUCAGCUCACAUGUGUCUUCUUCUGUUGUGUCAUUAUUACAGAAUGGGUUUACAAACCCCUGGGCAAACAGGAAAUGUCACUCUGCACCAAGAACACAUUCUUCUGUGACUCAGGAGCAGGGCUGGGGGCAUCCAUGGGGGCUUAGUCACCGCUCCAGUCCACUGGCUCCUCAGCCACCCAGCACCCUCGCCUCUGUCUACAGCCAGCAUGCACCUUCCCUAGGGUCCCCUGGGGCUCUUUAUCCAGAUAACUGCCUGGAAGCCUUUUAUUUUACAUUUCUGGAAGGUGCCAUCUUUGCCACCUGAAUUUUGUACUGUUUUUCAUAACAGGUCUAAUAAAAAUCAAAAGUCUA